rnacentral:tRNA from 1 species
GGGCCCUUAGCUCAGCGGUUAGAGCGCUCCGCUCAUAACGGACUGGUCGGUGGUUCGACUCCACCAGGGCCCA